rnacentral:rRNA from 1 species
AUGGCGUCGCCGGCGCCGCCCUUCCCCGAUGCCCCGGCGGCUCCGCCCUGCAGCUCCGACGCCUCGCCGUUCAUGGAGGCGCAGGUGACCCUCCCGGACCACCUGACGGAGGACAUCCUUCUCCGCCUCACCACGGCCGCCGACCUCGCCCGCGCCUCCAUGGCCGGCCCCUCCCUCCGUCGCCUCAUAGCCGAUCACUCCUUCCUCCGUCGCUUCCGCACCCUCCACCCGCCGCCUCUCCUGGGUAUACUCUCCGACCCCUUCCUCCCAGCCCAGCCGCCCCACCCCUCCGCCGCCGCCGCCCGAUCCCUCGCCGGCACCGACUUCUCCUGCUCCUUCCUCCCCUCCCGCGAGCAGCUCUGGAUUCGUCACGACUUCCGCGACGGCCGCGCCCUCCUCUGCGUCGCCCCCGACGACCGCUGCCUGGUGACGGACGUCGCCGUGUGCGACCCGCUGCACCGGCGCUACCUACUGCUACCUCCCGUCCCUCAGGACCUGUCCGAUCUGGUCUAUUACUGCGAGCCUUUCCUUGCUCCUGCCGGCGGGGACGAGGUGCCGGCCGACGCUCCCUUCAGAUUCAGAGUCAUGUGCUUGGCCAAAUACCAGACCCAGCUGGUCAUAUUUGUCUUCUCUUCAUCUGGCCCCCAUGCCGGACAAUGGCAUGCCGUCGCAUUUGAUGGUUGGAGCACUCUGGUCGCAGGAAUCAGAGACGCUGCGCUAUCCUCCACUGCGUUCGGAAAACGCUACCACGCGCACGGAUGCUUCUGCUGGGCGAUACCUGUGAUCGGCAAGUUGCUCAUGCUCGACAUUGCCACGAUGGAGUUCUCCUCCGUCGACCUCCCACCUAGUCCCUGGAGUAAUUACCAGAUGGCCUUUGUGGAGGCAAGGCAAGGGAGGCUUGGGUUGUUUGCUGUCAGCCACAAUCGCCUCUUGUAUUCCAUUUCGGGGAGCAUUGAGGAUGACCCAAGGCUGUGGCUAAUGGGGGCUGUAGUCCCAUUAUCCCUUGAUUACGCCUAUGACAUCAUUGGUGUAGCUGGGGGAUACUUACUCCUACAUGGGUAUCCAGACAGCCCGGAGUCAUCAUUUGAAUUGCCCGAGCCCGACUGCUUUUCGCUGGAUCUCCAGACUAUGAAGCUUGAGUGGUUCUGUGAGACUGGGUGGAUAAUGCCAUUGAAGAACCAACUACUGUAUGCGGGUUUCCCGUCAUCCUUGUCUCCACCAACUAUUUGA